rnacentral:misc_RNA from 1 species
GAAAUGCGAUAAGUAGUGUGAAUUGCAGAAUUCAGCGAAUCAUCGAAUCUUUGAACGCACAUUGCGCCCUUCGGUUAUUCCUUAGGGCAUGCCUGUUCGAGCGUCAUUUCAACCUUCAAGCCUGGCUUGGUGUUGGGCGCUGUCCCGCCCCCGCGCGCGGACUCGCCUCGAAUGAAUUGGCAGUCGCACCCUCCGAGCCGCGAGCGCAGCACAAGUCGCGCCCGCCGGCCCGCUGGGACGGACGCUCCACAAGACCCCCCCAAAGUCUUGACCUCGGAUCAGGUAGGGAUACCCGCUGAACUUAA